GAUAUAAAGAUUCUUCAUUAUUAUCAAAUUACCUUAAUGCUUAAACUAGAUAAUUCACUUAUAGCUAUCGAUCUUUAUAUAUAUAUUUCAAAAUUAAAUAACCAAUACUUAAUGGCAAUGCUUGCAUUUCUUCCUCUACAUCACCUUAUAUUUCUUUUUGAUAUAUGCUGAGAAUUUUCAUUUUGACUUCAGAUAUCUUCAGCCUUGUCAUUUCUAGUAUGCAAAUGAGUUCUCUGGUAAAACCUACGUUGCGGGAUACUCUUUCGCUCAUUGGACCUGAGAGGGAGGAUGAGCAAGUGAGGCAAUAUAUCAUUGAAGACUUGUGAGAUGUUUUUUGGACCGUGGAAAGUCUUAGAGGUAUUAAGACUUUAUAAGAGGCAGUGGCCUGUAUGUACCUAGUUGGAUAGUUUAUUUUGUACAUCCUUGAUUUCUGCAAGAAAUAGAACUUCUUAUUAAGACAAGAAAUGAAAUUUGUCAGGACUGAAGUUUUUUAUGGAAGUUUAUUAUUUUAAUUCUAUGUUGAUGCGCUUGACCUUUGUGAUGUCUUUUUUCUGACAUUACUAACUGGCAUAGGCCUAUGUUGCCUCAGAAACAUGGAUAAAGUAGUAUAGGAAUUGAAAUAUUCUCUGAUGAUUAAUAUUCCAUUAUUUUGUUUGUUGCUUAAUAAGAUGGUGUUCUAUCAUUUUCAAUUGAAAUGGUGUUAUGCCAACCAGAACUUAGAGCUAAACUGUUAUGCACAGGGGCCAUGGUGGAACCAUUUGGCUCUUAUGUAUCUAAGCAUUUGACCAGAACAUAUCUAUAGAGAUACAUAGAGGUCGCAUAUUUUAAAUAUUUGGAGAAACCAGAAGGAAAAUUUACCAGAAACUGUACUAGAAGCUCUCUGAAGUGAGGGUAACCUGCCUCCUUUUUAGUAAUCUGCUUGACAAUUGACAUAUAGGUGUGUUGACUAAAUCAUUGUGAGAUAAUUUUUUGAAGGUUGAUUUUGCAGGAAAAACUAGAGACCUCUUUCAGAAUUUAGCUGUUAAAAAUUCAGAUAACUUGACACUGAAUAGUACUUUAUUUUUUCCAUACAGGUUUGAGAACUGCAGCUGUUGAACAAAUUGCAAGAACAUUUGCUGCGGACAAAAACUGGUUUAAACGGUCUAGGCGGAGAAAUGAAAGUUCUCUGAUCUGCUCGUUUCAUUCUUUGCAAAGGUAUAUUUACACAUUUUCGGUUAAACUAUAUAUUCUGCUCUACAUUCAAUUUAUCUAAUAAAGUGGGAUGUUGGUAUGACUACUGGUGAACUUUUCUUUCCACAAUGAGAACUGGCAUUAGUAGCAAGAAUGCCGUGAUUAUAGCCUUAACACGUGGUCGCAGCAUUAGACCAACCCGAACCUAUUCAUGGCACAAUUUACAUUGGCAAAACCCGAAAAUGAUAUGAAACUGACUGUCGAACCUAACAUGAUCCUGAAAUGAGCAGUAAAAAGCACAAUAUCUUGCACUUUAUAAUGCAUGUGUGCGUGGUGUCUGCAGUGGAAGCAGCAGUAAUCAAUUUCACUGUAACGAAAAAACUUAUGUAUAUUUAUGAUCUUUUCAGUUCUCUGACAUUGAUAUGAGGGCCUCAGAACAAGGCAUCAAUCCUUACUCUGGACAGUACGAAGAUAUUGGGAGAAGCAUGGCAUGGCUGCCUCAGACAUUAGCACUCUAUGUAAUCCCACACACACAGAUUCCCUUGUGCUGGCGUGUUUCUCAUUGCUGGAGACUCUGUAGCUGCUUAAUCAAUGCAUGUUUAGCUCCUUUUUCACUUCUUACAAAUUUAUUCUUAGGUUAUGGAUCCUUUUGAGCAGCCUAAUAAUACUGCAAGGCCUAUUAGCAACAAAACCUUCAGACAGAAACACUGGGGGAAACUAUGACGGGAGUCAUCCACAGGUCAACAGAGAAGCAUCAGCACCAUCACAGUCGCAUCUAACUUAAGAUGUAAUGAAUGAUAAACGUUCUAACAAUGCGACUGUCAGCAGACCAGUGCAGCCAAUUCAAGCACAACAGAUCUGGAGGGCAAAACCCAAGAGCUAAAUUCCACGAGGAUGGACCUACAGCCUGCCUUCGUAUAUUAAUUAUUGAUAAAGAUAAUAUUGCUUAUUGUUAAUCAAGUCUUUAUAAAUGGUUUGUUGUAAAAAUAACAUUAUAACCAUUAAGUUUAAAGUCAAUGUAAAUGUUUUAAUAAAUUGUGUGUUGGCCUAGCUUUGUAGCCUGUGGUACAGGUAACAUUACUGUUGUGAGAGUUUCAUAUCAGGGGAAAUGAAUUUUAUUUUGCACUAAAAUUUCCCCUUUUAAAAACAACCACUCACGAUCACAAUCAUUUGGUUGGGUGGUUGGUUGGGUACGUGGUAUGAGAAAUUGGGUAUGGUUAGUUCAUACAUUUCAUUUUAGUGGAGAUACAUUUCAUUCCAUCACUGGAAUAGAUACGUGAUAGUCUAACUCUAUAUCCCUCUGGCCUGAUUUGUGAUUCCAAUUCUAUACCAGUCAGAGAACCAACCAAUUUUUAGAAAUCAUAUUUUCUGACACUAGCUUAUGAUUAUCCUUUUACUUAUUGUAGGAAUUGCAUGAGAUUGUACUAUUCAAUUUAAGUGCUGAGACAAUCGAAUAUCCUAACCCUAAAUUAUCAUUCAAAAAUCAUUUUGUCCCACUAUUUUGAAUAAUUCAAAUCGCACCUUAUUAGUUUAACCCGCGAGACAGUUUGCACCCCUUCCGUUAAAUAUACAUAAUUUUAUACUUUAAUGAAAUAUCAUUUUGAUAUUUUAAAAUAAUAAAACUAUAAUUAAAUAUCUCAAAAGUAUAAUACUCCCUCCGAUUCAAAAUAUAUGACGCUUUGACUUUUUGCACGUAUUUAAAAUCCUUUGACCAUGUACUUAUAUUUAUUAUUUUUAAAAUUUUAUUUUUUAAAAUAAAAGUAUAUAGUCAAAAUUUUAAAGUAUAAAUUCUUUUUAAAAGAAAUGAUGAAUCUAGAUGCUUGGUGAAAACACUUUGAAAUAUGUGUAAAAAGUCUGACAAAGAUGGCAGAUGCAUUUCGAGCUACACACAAUAUGCUUACAUCAAAUUAUUAUAACCAGGCUACCUUUUCCGCUACACUAAUUAGACAAGAUCGAUUGUCACCAGCGAGACGAUCUAUAUUCCGAAACAUGCCAGGAAACAACCGGAGUCACCCACAGGUGAACCAAGCUUCAUCAUCACAGUCACAAUCACACCAAACUCGGAAUUUCAGGAAUAAUAGAAGUUCCAACAAUGAAAAUAUGAACAGACCGGUGCAGACUCCUCAUAGUCAAACAAGGCAGAUUUGGAAGGCAAAACCAUCUUAAUCGAACUAAAAAUUUGUAACAGGUUACAUCACUGUUCGUAUUUGAUAUCGUAUUGUGUGUGGUGGUUGUUUGUAUUGUUUUGAUAAUUUAACACUACUGACGAAAUUGGUAAACAUACAAAAAAUAAUAGUAAUAGCGAUUGUUUUUACGCAUAAAAUUAGAUUUAUAUGAUAAUUGAAUCACUAAAAGAAUUAUAAAUUUAAAUCUUCUAAGUAAAUUUUAGUUAAGUUUAAUAUAAGUAUUAAUUAAUCUAAAUUAAAAUAAUAAAUAUUGUUGAGUCAUGUACAAAUCUAAAAAAUGCGACGAAGAUUGAUGAUUAUUAAAUAAUUUUGAUAUCGAAAAUAUAUAAUUAAUGGAAAUAAAAAUAAAUUAGUUAAUUAUUUAUUUGAGGAAUUGUGAGACCCGAAGAUGAGUUCUAAUUAGAUAAUGAAAAGGAGUCUAAUCAGAUGAGUUAUAAUUGGAUUAUGAAGAAAGUUUGAUUAAAUUAUAUUAUAAACUAAAAAGUUGGUUAAAUUAUGAUUAACUUGUAUGUGGUUAUAUUUUGGAUAAAAUUUAAUAUAAAUUUUUAGGUGUUGCUUCUGAUUGAUCAUAAGAUAAUUCAACUUUACUUACAUUAAAUUAAAUUUAUUUUAAAUUACUUAAAGUAAAUAUGAAAUUCUAUUAUUAUCUAAUCAAAUUAUCAUAUCAUUUUAUUAUAUAAUAUUCUAACUGGAUAGUGAAAAUGAGCCUAAUUAGAUGAGUUAUACUUAAUGAAAAUGAAGUGAUUAAUUAUAUUAUUAUAUUAUAUAAAAAAAUUGUAAUGAUUUACUCAUAGUUAAUAUCUUGGUUAAAAUUUAAUAAAAGCAAAGUUGUAGAAUGAACAUUAUUGGUCUAAAAUUUAGGGGUGAACUCUGAUUCGUACUAAAAUAAUUCUUAUUUACUCAUUGGUUAACUGCAUAAUAUUGUGGUACAAGGAAUGUUGAAAAAUUGAAUAUCACUGAUUUAAAAUUUAGUAAUAGCUUCUGAUUAAUUCUAAAAUAACUCCUUUUUUUUAGAGUAACUAAGAUAGGAAUUGGCAAAUGAUUGCCAAUGUCUAUGCGUCAUGACAUUUUUAGUUGCCAACUUAUUAGAGCUCCCUGAUUGCCAAUGAGUUGCUACUCAAAGUUGGCAACUACCUCGUUUAGCUAAAAACAAACUACAGUAUUAUCCAAAAACUAUAUUUUACCUUAACCAUUUAUGUAUUUGAAAUAGAUAUACAAUAUUUAUUUAGGGGAGCACAUUGACAAUUUUUAUAAUUGCCAAUUAUUGGAGUGUAUUUUACAAAGAGGUUGCAAAUGUGAUAUGAAGGAGAGAUAAAAUAAAAAAUUAAUAUAUAUACCGAGUUGGCAAGACUUAGCAACUAUUUUAGCAACCCUUGUUGGAGAUGGUUAACUGCCAGUUUUGACGGGAAAAAACGGCAUACUGUAGUAUAGUUGGGUGUUAUAAUAAAUGUUUAUCCAAUUAGAAAAGUGAAAUUAGUUUGGGAUUAAUCAAAGGUCACCCCUGUAUUUUAGACCAAUAAUGUUCAUUCUUCAAAUGAGAUUUUAAUAUAUUUUAUACUCCCUCCGUCCCACAAUACAAAUCUUUUUUGUAAAAAAUAUUUGUCCCAUAAACUUGUUAACUUUUAGUCUCCAAUGCAAAUAUAUUGACAAUAUUCCAAAACUACCCUUCUUGAAAAUGCAUGACAAUUAAUGAGGAUUGAAUAGGAGUCUACAUUCAUUCAUUAAUUAGAGGUACAAGUAAGAAAAUAUUAUCUAAUUAAUUAAUGAGUUCUUAAUAUGCGCAACUUUUACAAAAGAGACUUGUAUGUGGAACGGAGGGAGUAUAGUUUAUGAAUAUUAAUUAAUUGUAUCUGAUUUUGAUUUUAUUCGGAUUCUUUAUAAAAUAUCGCAAAGAUGACUAGAGUCUUUAGUAUUUAAGCACAAUGUUUCGAAAUCUCAUGGAUUUAGGUGGAAUAUCAAAUAUCUUAAAAUACACACAAUCUCAAAAAAAAAAAAAUCAUCAUUUUAUGAAGUCCAAAAAAAAAUCAUCACCAUUUGAAUACAAUCAAUUUUUAAUAUAUUUAAAAAAAUCUCAAUUGAAUACCUUCGAAAUUUGAAGUAUAAUUUAAAAAUCAUGAUUAAAUACCACUAGUUUUUCUAAAUAAUUUAAAAUCUUAAGUGAAUUUCCAAGAUUGUGAUAAUUUUUGAAAAUCAGAUUUGAAUCCCCUCAAAUUUAAUGAAUGAAAAAUAUCUUUUAAAAUCUCAAUUAAAUGUACCCCUAAUAAAUGUGGUAGAUGAAAAAAAUCUUUAAAAAUCUCAAUUAAUUAUACCCCUAAUAAAUGUGGUGCAUAAAAAAAUCCCUUUAAAUACCCUAUAUGAAUUGACACCAACCCAUGAACAUGUCAAUUUUCUGAAUUCCUAGGAAAGCUCAACCCUAGUUAUGAUCCACACAUCUAUUUAUCGAUUUCCCAUAUUCAUUUUGUCGCCGCCUUGUCAAAUUUUUUUUAGUGCAUUUUGUCGAACACUCGGUGGAGAUGAAUGGUUCUCCACAUGUUCCAUGUGUAGUCACUUUAACAAACUUAUUAAAUAAUGAAGAAAAUUUCAGCAAACAAAAUAAAAACAAUGAAGAAAAUGCUCAUUAAAAAUCAAACACAAAAAUAGCUUCCCCCCUUCUGUGGGGCUUGUUUUGCUCCCAAUCAACUCCAAUUUUUCAGGUUGUGAGAAUAUUUUGAGCUCAAGUCCCAAGAAAUUUGAAAGAGAAGUUGGAUAUAUGAAGCAAUCAAGGCCUCAACAUAUAGUGUUCCAAGGGACAAGAUGUUGAUCUUGGUGUUGUGAUACAAACAAACUUGUUUUUUCAUGGGAUGGGGGUAACUAUCACUCUUAAAGAUAUUACGCAUUUAAGGUCUUUGUCUGUUUUAGGUUGCUCAAUUUCAACUCUCUGUGUUGAUGAAUGUGUUCAUGUUUAUAAAUGUUUGAGAAAUGAAAUAAGCAAGUUAAAUUUGCUAGUGGUGGAUCUGUGAAUCCUUCUACAUGGAUGGAGUAUUUUAUGAAUAGUGUUAAGGAUGUAAAUAUGUAAUGUUGCCAUUCAUUUGUCUAGAGGUAAUAGGGUUGCCUUUGCGCCCGUUGUUUUUGCAUGUAUUUAUGGAAAUAUUGAUUUAUAACACGUGUCAUCCACGAGUGAUUUAUAAUAUUUGUAAUUUUAUCGUUUAUUUCUUAAAUCUAAUUUUUAAAAAGGAUAUUUAAUUAUAUAAAAAAAGAAAAAUUGAUUAUAUAAGAAGAUCCAUAAUUCGACCGAAGUACUGAACGACCAAAAUUUUAAUAUUUCAACUUUAUUAAUAUAAUAUAGAAGUAUAGAUGAGAGUGUUAGGACGGACCCAAUUUUGUAAAAUUGCAAGGGCUGAACCAAAUUUUUUUUACCAACGUUGUAAAAUUUAAUAAGUCGCCCAACGAAAUGAUGUCUUGACAUCCCAAUAUUUUCUUUUGUUGGUUUUCAUGUACCAUUGUAAAUGAGUGCUAAGAUCUGUAACCCGAUGCAAGUCGAACAAUAUCCUCAAAUGAUGUCAAAUUUAAGAUACCCAAAAAAAUUGAGUAUUGCAUUAAUAUUAUCUUAGUGAUGUCUUACAACACCUGAACAUCUUGUACAUGUGUCUUAUUUUCAAGACAUUGCAUUAAAAAUUAGUUUCAUUAGAAAAAUAGCAUGAGAUUUCAUUAGAUAAUAUAAUAAAACCAAGACGAAGAACAUAAUUAAUAAAAUUACAUUAUAUUAUAACUAGUAAAAAGAAUAUUGUGCGAUCACAUAGUUGAUAAAUAAUAGAGUACUUUUAAAAAAAAUUCUAAUAUUAAAUUUCGAUAUUGUAAAAUGAUACUUUAUUUCCAAUUAUAUAUACAAUAUUAUACAUGUUAGAAAUAUAAAAUUUUAAUACUAAAUUUAUAUCUGAAUUUUUAAAUUUAAAACCUCUAUUUAUAUCUGAUUUUUUGUUAAAGUUUAGACUUAUAAUUUUUCCUUUUUAUGCAUCUAAUUCGCCAAUAAGAGAGAGUUUUGACAUUUUUCAUUUAAACCAUAUGCAGAUCUAGCAAACCCAAUCAUGUAUCACAGGACUCAGUUAUUUUAUCUACAGGGCUGAUAGAAUAAGAAGAGUUAGGAUUUUGACCCGGAUCGGAGCCAACCUCAACCCAGCCCGAGUGUUGAAUUAGGGCUAUAACCUAGAUCAACACGGUGGCACGGAGUCACAAAGUUGAAAGUUUCACGGUUUGUGAAGCUUCUUGAAGCUUUUAGAUAUCUAAAAGCUGGAUCAAUUAUACAAUUCUAUCUUCGCAUCAUUCGAUUCUUGUUUUUAGAUAGGGUUAAUUAUCAACUAGGUCAUUUAUUACACUAGAAAAUAUCAAGUGGAUCACUCAGAAAUUUUUGGUCUCAUUUGAAUGACUAAAGUCAUAAAAAAUAUCAAAUAGAUACCUCUAAUAUCUUUUCGAGAAGUAAUCUUUAUUUUUCGUUGAGUUCCACACAUUUUUCUUGGCUGUUAGUAUAAUCAUAUGAAAAGAUAUGAAUUCUUGUAUGUAUCGUAAUAUAUUUAGAUUUUAAGAAAUUUAUUUAUUAUUUAUUUGAUAUAAAUCAAACAAAAUAAUUGUAAAAUUAAAAAUAAAUAGUAAAUAAAUUUCUUAAAAUCUGAAGAUAUUAACAUAAAUACUGGAAUUCAUAACCUUUCAUUUGAUUAUAAUAACAACCAAGAAAAAUGUAUGGAACUCAAUGAAAAAUAAAGUUUAUUUCUCGAAAAGAUAUUAGAGGUAUCUAUUUGAUAUUUUUUAUGACUUUGGUGAUCCAAAUGAGAUCAAAAAUUUCCGAGUGAUCCACUUGAUAUUUUCUGGUGUAUAAAGUGACCUGGUUGAUAAUUAACCCUUUUUAGAUUUAAGCAAAGAAUGUUCUUUUGACUUUAAGACAUGUUUAAGAUAUGUUUAGUCACCGCCUUAGUCGAAUUUUCGCUAGCGCCUCUUGUCGAUCAUUUGGCGGAGAUGAAUGGUUCUCCACCUGUUCGAUGUGUAGUUGUUCCACUUUAUCAAGCUUCUUAAAUAAUGAAGAAAAUGCUCCAGUAAAUAUCGAGAUUCGAGCCGUAAUGACUCCUUUUAAGGUAAUACUUUUUUUUUCCUUUUUGUCAUUUAAUCGACGCCUUUUAAACAGUGCUAUGGUGCUUGCUAUUGAGACGAAUUAGUUGUUAUUUUUUUGCGAUUUAGGGCGGAGAGGAUUGAGAGUGCUUUUCAUUUAAGAUUGGGAUGAAGCAUCGUAUCGAUUGGGUGGUUAUUUUGUACUCUUGGCCACUUUAGAUUGAUUAAAUCGAGACAUCUAAAAGCUGAUAUUAUAUGAUGAUACUUGCAAUUUUAUAUGUGCACAUCCGAUACUUGUUUUUUGAUAUAAGCAAAGGAUGUUGUUUUUGACUUUAAGAUAUCUUUAGUCUUGUCUGGUGGUAUUUAAACCGUUUUGGUAUUUGCAGAUGAGUUCCUACGGUCAGGUGGACCAUGCUCCUCAGAGUAUUCUCCCUGGUUGUUCAGAGGGUGGAAGAAAUCUCAGAGGUAUAAGAGGUUUAUAGCAAGUAGUAGCUCCCUCGCAUAAUAUUUACUUCCUCUAUUCCUUUAGGAAACAAAAUUAAUAUUCAUAUUAACACAUGAAAUGAGAUUGUCAGGAUUGAAGUUUAUUGUAGCAGUUUCUUUAUUUUAUUCUAUCAUGUGUUAUAGAAAGCCUUAUGGGCACCGAAUUUAAGCUCUUGAGCCUUUCCUUAUUUAUCAAUCCUUUGGUGUUGUGGUACAAAUACUUUUUUUUUCCAUGGGGUGAGGUAACUAUCAGUCUUGAAAAUAUUGUGCAUUUAGGGUGUCUGUCGUUUUUAGGUUGCUCUAGUUCAACCCCAUGUGAUGAUGAAUGUGUUGAUGUUUAUAAUUGUUUGAGAAGUGAAAUUAAGAGUGUUAAAUUUACUAAUGCUGGAUCUGUGACUCUUCAAUGUGGAUGGAGUAUUUUAUGAAUAGUGGUAAGGAUGUAGAGCAUGAAGCAUUUCUUGUAUUUUGGCUGUGUAAGUUUGUUUUUGUGCGCACUCAGAUACUUGUGCAGGAUUUGAAUGUUGCUUUUCAUUUGUCUUAAUAGGGUUGCCCUUGCUCCUGUUCUUGUUUGUAUUUAUAGAGAUAUGAGGGUGUUACAUAAUGCAAUGGUUAAGCCUGUCGAAUUAGGGUCUGGAAUUGGUCUGAAGUUCACUAUAUGGCACUACGACUUAGUGCAGAUGUGGGUUUGGGAGAGGUUUGUGGAAUUGAGGCCAAAGCCAAAUGUCAUAGAACGGGGAGACCCUAGAUCAGCACGGUGGAAUGGAGUCACAAAGUUGUAAGUUUCACGAUUUGUGAAGCUUUUUGAAGCUUUUAGACAUCUAAAGCGGUAAUCAAUAAUAUGCAAUUCUAUCUUCGCAUCAUUCAAUUCUUGGUUUUAGAUAUAAGCAAAGAAUGUUCUUUUUGAGUUUAUGAUAUCUUUAGUCUUAUUUAGACCGUUUUGGUAUUUGCAGAUGAGUUCCUACAGGCUACAGUCAAGUGGAUCAUGCUCCUCAGAGUAUUCUUCUUGGCUGUUGAGAUGGUGGAAAAUCUCAAAGGUAUAAGAGGUUUAUAGCUGGUAGUAGCUCGCUCGCAUAUAUUUACAUCCUCUCUAUUCCUUUAGGAAACAAAAUUAAAUAUUAAUAUUCAUAUUAAGACAUGAAAUGAGAUUGUCAGGCCUGAAGUUUAUUCUGGCAAUGACAUUGGGUCAAUUAGGGUUCUCCCUUUUUGAUGUCGUUGGAAGCUGAUUUCCUCUUUUUAUUUGGGGUUAUAAAUUGUAUUUUUGUUUUAGGGUUUACUUUUUUGGGCGCUAAAACCGGCCCAAUAACAUUAUUUACGUUGCACUUUUCUUAGCUUCAAUAAAGCAAGCUUUUCUAAUUGCUUCGUGCCUGGCCGUGCUUUGCACUUCAUGGCCUCCAACGCGCGCUUGUUUGAAGUUGGGUCAAGUGUGUAGAUGUUCCAUGAUGAUUAAUUAUUUAUCUAUUUUAAGCGUUCCUUAAUUGGAGAAAAUGUAGUAAUUCUGUUUGUUACAAUUAUAAUGGUGUUAUGCCUUGAAAAACCACUAUUUAACUGUUGUACACAGGUGCAAUGGUGGAGUCAAACUAUUUGGCUCGUUUGUAGCUGAACUAUUCACGAAAUGGUGAGAUUUGGAUAUAUCCAUAGAGAUACAUGUUUUCAUAUCUCAAGCACAGCAAGAAAGCAGAAGGAAAGUUUGCUUGCAGAUUUACUAGUAGCUCUUAGAAAGAAAGGUAAUCUUUUUUCAAGAUAUGGAACUCCAUGCAUAUUGUGAAAUUGUUGCUGUCCUUGUGAUAUCUCACAUUAUGUAGUAAAACAAUCAAUUUAUCAAAUUCCAAAUACUCGUUCUCCGCAUCAUCCUAUACUUUUUUCUUAAGUUGAGGAUCUUUUUGAGAAGCCUGUUAAACCUGCAAGGGCUGUUGCCAACAACCAUCUGACAAGAAUGGUUGAUGCAUUUCGAGCUUAACAUAAUAUGCUUCCAUCAAAUUAUCAUAAUCAGGCUACUGUCUCCCCACACUAAUUAGACAAGAUCGACUGUCAUCUGCAAAACGGUCACCGGACAGAAAGGAACAUGGAAAAAACCGGUGGCGUCCACAGGUACACCGAUCAUCAUCAUCAUUAUUAUCAGUGUCAAACUCAGAAUUUAAAGAAUAAUAAGCAUUCAUUUUCUGUGUUGAUUGAUUGUAUAGUUUUGGUAAGCAUCCAAGACCACUGAUGAAGUCUGUAAAAUUAUUUUCUUUAUAUCUCAUUCCAUCAGAAAUUUGAUAAGCCAAAGAGUGAGUAGUUUGGGCGAAUAUGUGAACACUUAGUAGUUUUAGCAAUAUAUUUUUGGAUCAUAUGCUUUUGAUAAUUUUCAUUCGAAGCAUAAGCAAUUUCAGAACUUAGGAUUGUUUAAUCUUACUUUCCUUUGAAAUCACACUUAAUUAAUUUAAACUUCAUAUCUAAAUAUUGAACGAUGGUAGAAUGAAUAUGUAAUCUAGAAAUUAAUAAAAUUAAAUUCUUGAAACAUUCUAUAUCAUUUGUGUAACACUAUGUUUCAUGAACAACAUAGAUUAGGUCAACUUUCCUGCUCUUCAUGAACCCUAAGAGAAAAUGUGUUCGUCUUUGAGAGAAAAAAUCUGACAAAUCAAUAUCAGGUCAGAAAUUAUUUACGCAAUUAUAAUUAGUAGUAUUUAUUGAAUCCGCGUGUUUAUGUUGUAAUUGCAUAAAAAUCAUUGACCGAACGUCAGUGGUUACAGAAAAUUAUACUUGCAUGAUACACUAAACCUGGAGAACCACUGGUUAAACAGGAUUAAUAUUGUUGACAAUGUGUAGCUGUGACAGUUUAACAAAUAGGAAAGCUUGUGAACACUUUAAAACAAGAGAAUCAUGGACAAAAGACUUCUUUAGAUUUACUAAUUAUCAGAAGACUUGUGGAAUGUAUGUUAGUUUUAUACUCCAAAUUUGGUGGAAGUUCAGAAAAAAGACAUUUGAUCGAGACGAUAUUGUGAAUGUGGCAAUCCCGAUAGACUGAUCAAUUCAUGGAAUACUACUUGUAGUUAAAUAAUGAAGAAAAUGCUCCGUCAAAGAUGAGGCGUAAUGACUCUUUUUAAGGUAAUAUACUUUUCUUCUUAUUUAGUUGAUGUCUCUUAAACAUUUUUGCCGAAAACUGUGUGACUAAAUGUGAAAGAAUUAUCGAGACGAAGAAUUAGUUAAUAAUACAAAUCUAAAUUAUUUGUGUAGAGGAUCUCGAUUAAUUACUUACCCCAAUUGGCAGCACAAGGAAUACUAGUACAACAACGUUGGAGUUUGACCAACUCCAGAGUUUUGACUACGAUGAUACCAUCAGUCUCCUAUGCCCCGUCUCUUCAGUUGGUUCUCUUGAAUUAGGGGUGGCCUGGUAAUUUUGGUAAGUCCUUUUUUUUAAAUCCCAACUGUAUACAUUUUUUUCUUCCCGCAUGUCGCAGCGCACGCAUCCCCCAAAUUAAAGAAUUGUUUAACAAAGAUCAGUCUUGGAUCUGCUAGAUUAUCAUGUGUGUAUUUCCAUAUGAUUAUAUCAUCAACUGGCCAACUUGGAUUGGUUCAAUUUAUACAAAGGCAUUCUAUAUUACUCUACUGCCGUCAAAUGGAGAUAUAAAGAUUCUUCAUUAUUAUCAAAUUACCUUAAUGCUUAAACUAGAUAAUUUAAUUAUAGCUAUCGAUCUUUAUAUAUAUAUUUCAAAAUUAAAUAACCAAUAGUUAAUGGCAAUUCUUGCAUUUCUUCCUCUACAUCACCUUAUAUUUCUUUUUGAUAUAUGCUGAGAAUUUUCAUUUUGACUUCAGAUAUCUUCAGCCGUGUCAUUUCUAGUAUGCAAAUGAGUUCUCUGGUAAAACCUACGUUGCGGGAUACUCUUUCGCUCCUUGGAC
rnacentral:lncRNA from 1 species